UCAUCAUCAUUAUACCCUUCUCUUAUUUGAUUCAAUGACUCAAUUAAUAUUGAGAAAAUCUCUUCACUUGAAGCAUUUGCAAUUUCUGAUAGAACUUUGUUCUUUGCAUUCCUAAUUAAGGUUACAAUUUCAUGUAAUUCUGGAUCUUGAUUGCUAUGAGAUGACACAUAUUUGAUUGGAAUGUCAAGGUAGAAGUUUCCAAAAAAGUUUUGAUCUUCCCCUGCACUCAAAAAGGGAGUAGCAAUUUAGGUAGAUAAAG
rnacentral:lncRNA from 1 species